rnacentral:rRNA from 1 species
AGCGAACGUUAGCGGCGGGCCUAACACAUGCAAGUCGAACGAGAAUGAGGGGGCAACUCCUCUAGUAAAGUGGCGGACGGGUGCGUAACACGUGGGUAAUCUACCUUCCGGCGGGGGACAACAGUCCGAAAGGAUUGCUAAUACCGCAUUCGUCGGCAGGGUCUACGGACUCUGCCGGGAAAGAUGGCCUCUCCUUGGAAGCUGUCACCGGAAGAUGAGCCCGCGGCCCAUCAGCUAGNGGUGAGGUAACGGCUCACCAAGGCUAAGACGGGUAGCUGGUCUGAGAGGAUGAUCAGCCACACUGGGAC